CACGUAGGGCGCAAGCGUUGUCCGGAAUUAUUGGGCGUAAAGAGCUCGUAGGCGGUCUGUUGCGUCCGCUGUGAAAACUCGGGGCUUAACCCCGAGCCUGCAGUGGAUACGGGCAGACUAGAGGUAGGUAGGGGAGAAUGGAAUUCCCGGUGUAGCGGUGAAAUGCGUAGAUAUCGGAAGGAACACCGGUGGCGAAAGCGGCGCGCUGGACCUCUUCUGACGCUGAGGCGCGAAAGCCAGGGGAGCAAACGGG
rnacentral:rRNA from 1 species